CACUUCAGCAUAAAAUUCUAUAAUGGAGUGGUGAAUCACACCCCAGGUAUUCAAAGAGUGAGAUCAAAAUUCACUUUUAUCUGCUGUAGUUUGCUUUCGUCUCUAAUGAUCUUUGAACCUUGUCUUGUUGACUUAUUGUUGAUGUAACAUGUACUUUCAUUGUCCAACAGGAAAACUGUUUUCUCUCUGAAAGGGACAGAUAAAAAGAGAGAGUGUGAACUAGCUCCCUUUCUCAGCUGGAAGUUAAAAGGCAGACACAGAGACUGGAUUCCCUUCAAAGAGCAAACGAGCCAGCAUAACAGAACGCAAGAAAGAAAUGGAGAGUGUUAACACAGAAAAAAGUCUACCCUUCAGGAUUUUUGCACUCUUGAGCUUCCUGCCACAAAAAAUGUUCAUGUUGCGAGGUA